CCUACGGGUGGCUGCAGUGGGGAAUAUUGCGCAAUGGGCGAAAGCCUGACGCAGCGACGCCGCGUGGGUGAUGAAGGCCUUCGGGUUGUAAAGCCCUGUCGGGUGGAACGAACGAUCUGGCGGCGAAUAACCGCCGGGUGUGACGGUACCACCGAAGGAAGCCCCGGCUAACUACGUGCCCGCAGCCGCGGUAAGACGUAGGGGGCGAGCGUUGUUCGGAUUUACUGGGCGUACUGGGUGCGUAGGCGGCGAAAGCCAUCGGCUUAAACGAGGCACCGCAUCCGAUACUGUCUGGCUCGAGUCUAGGAGAGGAAAGCGGAAUUCCCAGUGUAGCGGUGAAAUGCGUAGAUAUUGGGAGGAACACCGGUGGCGAAGGCGGCUUUCCGGACUAGUACUGACGCUGAGGCGCGAAAGCUAGGGGAGCGAACGGGAUUAGAUACCCCUGUAGUC
rnacentral:rRNA from 1 species